UUAUAUUUUGGGCAUAAAAUACAUUCAUAAAAGUUAAGGUUUGGUCAAAAAUAAUAAACCUAAAAGAAAAUGGAAAUUUUAGGGCAUUUUGUGUUAAAUGCCUAAUUUUGCCGAAAUGGGAAAUUUUAUUCCAUGAAUGGACCUUAGGUUAAAUUUUAUUAUGUGAUUAAUUAAAUUAAAUGUGAGAGACAUUUAAUUUAAUUAAUUAAUGUUAAGUUUGGUGAUUAAAACUUAAUAAGAGUGAAAAAAGGUGUCAAAAGUCAAUUUGGACUUUUCUUCUUAUAAACCUUUAUUAACCUUUAUAAAAAAUAAAAAAAAAUAAAAAAAAAUUAAUGGUCACAUAUAUGGAAAAGGGUGGCUGGCCAUGUGCUAUUUUAGAGUGGUGUGAACCCAAUUUUAUAAAAUUCAAAUCCCAUUUAAUUAAGAAGUCAAGUGGGCAAGUGGGUAGAAAAGCACUCAAGUGUUUUGUGAUAUUUUGAAGAGUUGUGUGAGCCAUUCUAACCCCCAAAUCCGACCACUCUCCCUCCCUCAUUCACUCUCAUCUGAUUUUUGAAGACUCUCUCAAGUGUUCUCUCCAUUUUGAACCCCAAGAACACCAAAGAAACUUGGAAGCUAAGUCUUGGUCUAGGAAGGGUUUUCCCUAAGUUGGUUAGGGUUUUUGAAAGGUUUUGAAGGAGUCAAAGCUUAUAGGAAGGUCCAAACCUUAAGCAAGAACACCAAAGAGUAUUGGCUAAGCGUAACUGGACUGAACGUUGGAGGGUGAAAACCUGCUGAGCGCUAAGGACUCCAAGUAAGAACAAGGGCAAGGCAGAGCAGUGAGCGCUGGAGUCUUCCUUGCAAAUGUACAUGUGGACCGAACUUUUGGGAAGCCUUUUUAUUUUUGGAAAUGUUGUGUAAUUUUCCUAAACUAGGCUCACUCUAAUCUUUAUAAAACAUGUUUGUAACUAAAUGUUAAGUAUGGCCAUACGACUUUUUAAAAAGUUUUUUUUUCUUUGGGUUUUUGAGACAUUUUGUUAAAUGAAAACAUUUAUAUUUCCGCAUUAUUGAGUCUUGAAAAUCCGGGUCGUUACAGUUGGUAUCAGAGCUCGAGUUGAGCCGGUUCUGUAGACAACCCACAUGUACAUUUCGCAAAGAUAGACCGGCACUCACUGUAAGUACUGUUUCUUCCUUUAGUGUGUUGUUUUCUUUUUAUUCACCUCAAUUCUAUAAAUUGUAGGUUAUGGUUGAUAUACCUGAGAUAGGUGACCCUGUGAUAGGAAAACUACCCAUGAUCCCUUCGCCUAGAAUCGAUUUUCUAUAGACUCUUUAACGAUGAGAAUUCCUUGCCACUUUGAGUACGAAUGACGACAUUGGCGUGCCAUUUGGCAAUGUACGCAAUACAUGACAGAAGUCUUCAGUAGAGCCAGAGGAGGAUCUCGAGCAGUCUGACGAGGAUACCGACAUAGAGCUGGAUAUGUUGAUGGACAACUUAGAUUAGGUUAUGCUGUGAGGGUCUUGUUGAUACUUUUUGUAAAGACCUUGCAAACCUACUAGGUUGUAGGACUUUGGUGUAGUUGUAGCUGAGAACCCGCCAAUGGAGGAAG